UGCCUACGGGGGGCAGCAGUCGGGAAUAUUGCGCAAUGGAGGAAACUCUGACGCAGUGACGCCGCGUGCAGGAAGAAGGUCUUCGGAUUGUAAACUGCUUUAGACAGGGAAGAAACAAGACAGUACCUGUAGAAUAGGCUCCGGCUAACUACGUGCCAGCAGCCGCGGUAAUACGUAGGGAGCAAGCGUUAUCCGGAUUUAUUGGGUGUAAAGGGUGCGUAGACGGGAAAUUAAGUUAGUUGUGAAAUCCCUCGGCUUAACUGAGGAACCGCAACUAAAACUGAUUUUCUUGAGUGUUGGAGAGG
rnacentral:rRNA from 1 species